AACGAACGCUGGCGGCAUGCCUAACACAUGCGAGUCGAACGAGACCUUCGGGUCUAGUGGCGCACGGGUGCGUAACGCGUGGGAAUCUGCCCUUGGGUUCGGAAUAACAGUUGGAAACGACUGCUAAUACCGGAUGAUGACGUAAGUCCAAAGAUUUAUCGCCCAAGGAUGAGCCCGCGUAGGAUUAGCUAGUUGGUGAGGUAAAGGCUCACCAAGGCGACGAUCCUUAGCUGGUCUGAGAGGAUGAUCAGCCACACUGGGACUGAGACACGGCCCAGACUCCUACGGGAGGCAGCAGUGGGGAAUAUUGGACAAUGGGCGAAAGCCUGAUCCAGCAAUGCCGCGUGAGUGAUGAAGGCCUUAGGGUUGUAAAGCUCUUUUACCCGGGAUGAUAAUGACAGUACCGGGAGAAUAAGCGCCGGCUAACUCCGUG
rnacentral:rRNA from 1 species